CCCUUAGAUGUUCUGGGCCGCACGCGCGCUACACUGACGAAUGCAACGAGCUUAUAACCUUGGCCGAAAGGUCUGGGUAAUCUCCAAAUUUCGUCGUGAUGGGGAUAGAUUAUUGCAAUUAUUAAUCUUCAACGAGGAAUGCCUAGUAAGCGCAAGUCAUCAGCUUGCGUUGAUUACGUCCCUGCCCUUUGUACACACCGCCCGUCGCUCCUACCGAUUGAAUGGUCCGGUGAAGCGCUCGGACCGCGGCCUCUUGACGGUUUUCCGUCGAUUGGCUGUGGGAAGCUCGUUAAACCUUAUCAUUUAGAGGAAGGAGAAGUCGUAACA
rnacentral:rRNA from 1 species